UACAGGGGGGGCAAGCGUUGUUCGGAAUUACUGGGCGUAAAGGGUCUGUAGGUGGCUUGCUAAGUCAGACGUGAAAUCCCUCAGCUUAACUGGGGAACUGCGCCUGAUACUGGCAAGCUUGAGUGCAGGAGAGGAACGCGGAAUUCCAGGUGUAGCGGUGAAAUGCGUAGAUAUCUGGAGGAACACCGGUGGCGAAGGCGGCGUUCUGGACUGCAACUGACACUGAGAGACGAAAGCCAGGGGAGCAAACGGG
rnacentral:rRNA from 1 species